rnacentral:rRNA from 1 species
AUGAACUACAACAUGAAGGGGAUGGAAAAGACCAUUCCUGAAGUGUUCUCGAUGCUGAAGUCAGCAGAGGUUGAAAUCAAGAAAGAACAUCAAGUGUUGAUGGUCAAUAAGACCACUAAGUUCAAAAAGGGCAAGGGUAAGAAGAACUUCAAGAAGGACGGCAAGGAUGUUGCCGUGCCUGGUAAGCCAGUUACCGGGAAGAAGUCAAAGAAUGGACCCAAGCCUGAGACUGAGUGCUUUUAUUGCAAGGGGAAGGGUCACUGGAAACGGAACUGCCCCAAAUACUUAGCGGAUAAGAAGGCCGGCAACACCAAAGGUAUAUUUGAUAUACAUGUAAUUGAUGUGUACCUUACCAGUACUCGUAGUAACUCCUGGGUAUUUGAUACCGGUGUCGUUGCUCAUAUUUGUAACUCACAGCAGGAGCUGCGGAAUAAACGGAGACUGGCGAAGGACGAGGUGACGAUGCGCGUCGGGAAUGGUUCCAGAGUCGAUGUGAUCGCCGUCGGCACGCUGCCUCUAUAUUUACCUACGGGAUUAGUUUUGAACCUUAAUAAUUGUUAUUUAGUGCCAAGUUUGAGCAUGAACAUUGUAUCUGGAUCUCGUUUAAUAUGA